rnacentral:rRNA from 1 species
GUAGUUAUAUGCUUGUCUUGAAGAUUAAGCCAUGCAUGUCUAAGUAUAAACCUCUUUAUACUGGUGCAACUGCAGAAGGCUCAUUAAAACAGUUAUAGUUUAUUUGAUGGUUCCUUACUACAUGGAUAACUGUAGUAAUUCUAGAGCUAAUACAUGCGUCGAAUCCCGACUUACGAAGGGAUGUAUUUAUUAGACAAAAAACCAAUGUGGUUCUCCUCGGAGAGCUGCUCUCUUGGUGAUUCAUAAUAACUGUCAAAUCGCAUGGAUUUACUCCGGCGAUAGAUCAUUCAAAUUUCUGCCCUAUCAGCUUUCAAUCGUAGUGUAGUGGACUACGAUGGCUUUUACGGGUGACGGAGAAUUAGGGUUCGGUUCCGGAGAGGGGGCCUGAGAAAUGGCCACCACAUCUAAGGAAGGCAGCAGGCGCGCAAAUUACCCAAUUGAGAUUCUCAGAGGUAGUGAAGAUAAAUAACAAUACCGGUCAUUCUAUAUGUCUGGUAAUUGGAAUGAGAACAACUUAAAUACCUUAUCGAGUAUCCAUUGGAGGGCAAGUCUGGUGCCAGCAGCCGCGGUAACACCAGCUCCAAUAGCGUAUAUUAAAGUUGUUGCAGUUAAAAAGCUCGUAGUUGGAUAUCUGGUAAGGUGGCCUGACCCGCCUCCCACACGGGAGUGUGUGUGUCGGCGCUUGCCUUAUCAUCUUUCCAGAGUCUACGCUGGAUCCUUCGGGGCUUGGCGUUUGAGUCUGGAUCUUUUACUUUGAAAAAAUUAGAGUGUUCAAAGCAAGCUUUUGCUGUGAAUACAUUAGCAUGGAAUAAUAAAAUAGGACUUUGGCCUAUUUUGUUGGUUUCUAGGACCAAAGUAAUGAUUGAUAGGGAUAGUUGGGGGUGCUUGUAUUGAACGGCCAGAGGUGAAAUUCUUGGAUUCGUUCAAGACAAACUACUGCGAAAGCAUUCACCAAGGAUGUCUUCUUUAAUCUAGAACGAAAGUUGGGGGAUCGAAGACGAUUAGAUACCGUCGUAGUCUCAACCAUAAACUAUGCCGACUAAGGAUCAGUGAAUGUUGAUUUAGACUUCAUUGGGACUUUACGAGAAAUCAAAGUUUUUGGGUUCUGGGGGGAGUCUGGUCGCAAGGCUGAAACUUAAAGGAAUUGACGGAAGGGCACCACAAUGGAGUGGAGCCUGCGGCUUAAUUUGACCCAACACGGGAAAACUUACCAGGUCAGGACACAGGAAGGAUUGACGGAUUGCAGAUCUUUCUUGAUUCUGUGGGUGGUGGUGCAUGGCCGUUCUUAGUUGGUGGAGUGAUUUGUCUGGUUAAUUCCGUUAACGAACGAGACCUCAGCCUACUAAAUAGUCGGAUGUAUACUUCACAGUGUACACUUCCGACUUCUUAGAGGGACUGUCGGUUUCUAGCCGAAGGAAGCAUGAGGCAAUAACAGGUCUGUGAUGUCCUUAGAUGUUCUGGGCUGCACGCGCGCUACAAUGUUGCAUACAACGAGCAUUCACCCUUGAUCGAAAGGUCUGGGUAAUCUUUGAAAGUGCAACGUGCUGGGGAUUGAUUAUUGCAAUUGUUAGUCAUGAACCAGGAAUUCCUAGUAAACGCGAGUCAUCAGCUCGCAUUGAUUACGUCCCUGCCCUUUGUACACACCGCCCGUCGCUCCUACCGAUUGAAUGAUCCGGCGAAAUCUUCGGACUGUUGUAUUGAGCUGGGUUUUCUCGGCUCAGUGCCGACGGGAAGUUGAUUGAACCUUAUCAUUUAGAGGAAGGAGAAGUCGUAACAAGGUU